rnacentral:lncRNA from 1 species
AUGGGCGGGUCGCAGCGUGGGCGGGCGCUUUCCUCCGCCACGUUCGUCACCCGCCCCCCUCCGCUCCCCGCUCCCCCACCCCGCUCCGGUCACAUGGACGCGCUUCCCGUCGCCCCCAGUGCCGAGCGGAGCAAACCACGAGGAGGCGGAGCGCGGCAGGCGCCCAGGGCAGUGGGUCAGCGCCCCGUAGGCAUGGUGGGGGGGCCAACCGCCGCGAGCCGCCGAGAGCCAAUCAGUGGCAUCGAGGGCGUGGUCACGGCCGCGCGCCCGCCGUCCGCCGCCGCCCGCCCGCGCGCGCGCCGCGCCCCGCAGCGCCCCCUGAGGGGCGGCGGCGGGAGCUGGUCCGGCUGCGCGCGCAGCGGUGGUGGUGGCGGGCGGCGCGAUCGGCCAGGCUGUAACCGUCGUCCGUCCGGGAGCGCUGGAGCGGCAGCGGCGGCCGGGAACGGCGCGAGGCGACGCCAGCAGGCAGCGGCGGUAGCGGGGGCAGCGGCGGCAGCGGGAGACGCAGCGGUAGCAGCGGCAGCAGCAGCAGCAAGACGGACUCGUGGACACGCGCCGCCGCCGCCGCCGCCGCCGGGCCGGGCCGGGUGUCGCGCGCCGAGGCUGGGGGGGAGUCGUCGCCGCGCUCCCGCCGCCGCUCCCGCCGCCGCCGCCGCCGCCGAGGUGACUGAGGAGAGAGGCGCCUCCUCGCUCCCGCCUCCGCCGGCCUUCAAUGCCCAGUCCCCAGCUCGCCAGCGUUUUCCGUUGGAAUAUACGUUGCACAUUUAUGGCGAUUCUGAGUGUGCGGGCAGACUUCUGCCAGGCUCAGCACAGCGUUUUCGCUGACAAGUGAGCUUGGGGGAUAUAUGUGCCAUAAUUAACAUUGCCUUGAAGACUCUGGACACCGAGACUGGCCUCAGAAGUAGUAGGCUUUUUUUUUUUUUUUUUUUUUUUAAUUGCAAGCAUAUUUCUUUUAAUGACUCCAGUAAAAUUAAGCAUCAAGUAAACAAAAGUGGAAAAGAACCUACACUUUUAACUUGUCUCACUAGUGCCUAAAUGUAGUUUAAAGGCUGCUUAAAUUUUGUAUGUAGUUGGAUUUUUUGGAGGCUGAAGGUAUCCAUCUGCAGACAUUGAGACCCAAGCUGAAUUUGGAUUCAAGUGGAUUCUGAAUACUUCUGCCUGUGUUGAAGAGAGAAGCUUCAUAAGGAGUAAACAAGUUGAAUAGAGAAAAAUAGUGAUCAAUAAUAGGCAUUUUAGUGGUCUUUUUAAUGUUUUCUGCUGAGAAACAUUUCAAGAUUUAUUGACCGCCCCACCCCCCAUUUUCCCCUCCACACUCACACACGCACGCUCACACUUUUUAUUUGCCAUAAUGAACCGUCCAGCCCCUGUGGAAAUCUCUUAUGAGAACAUGCGUUUUCUGAUAACUCACAACCCUACCAAUGCUACUCUCAACAAGUUCACAGAGGAACUUAAGAAGUAUGGAGUGACAACUUUGGUUCGAGUUUGUGAUGCUACAUAUGAUAAAGCUCCAGUUGAAAAAGAAGGAAUCCACGUUCUAGAUUGGCCGUUUGAUGAUGGAGCUCCACCCCCUAAUCAAAUAGUAGAUGAUUGGCUAAACCUGUUAAAAACCAAAUUUCGUGAAGAGCCAGGUUGCUGUGUUGCAGUGCAUUGUGUGGCAGGAUUGGGAAGGGCUCCUGUGCUGGUUGCACUUGCGUUGAUUGAAUGUGGAAUGAAGUAUGAAGAUGCUGUUCAGUUUAUAAGACAAAAAAGAAGGGGAGCAUUCAAUUCCAAACAGCUGCUUUACUUGGAGAAAUACCGACCUAAGAUGCGAUUACGCUUCAGAGAUACCAAUGGGCAUUGCUGUGUUCAGUAGAAGUAGAGAAAUGCUGACUGGAUCGUGGCGUUAGAGGGAACUCUUG